rnacentral:lncRNA from 1 species
AGUUAACAGGGCUGCUUGGUGAAGAUACUUCAGCUAAUAUCAAGAGGAAACACCCUACUUAUGGAUUGCACUAAUUCAAUAGGACCGAGUAAUUCAGGAUAUUGAAGAUUCAGGCUGGCACAGUUCUGUUAAUCCCAUGUCAAUGGGAAUGUGAAUUAUAUGUUGUGUAACAUCCUACCCCAAAUCUCAAAGCAACUAUUAAAAAAAAAAGAAAAAAAAGAAGAGAAGAGCCAGCACAUGCUGGAGCCAGCAUGAAGAGGGACUCACGGAAGAACUCCAGGCAUUCUUCCCCAAUUCAAAUUUCUUAAAAAUGAACUCCUAAAAUCUUAAGAAAUUAGAGACCGAUUCAAAUACCAAAUCUCUCUUGUUUGAGGUCUAUUUAAGGCCUCGAUCCUUUCAAUUAAUCCUCACAAAAAUCUCCAACAAAUCUCUUGAUUUCUCCCUACUCAUCGGUGGCUUCUCCUUGCUUUGGCCGUCGGAAAGCUAGAUCUACGUCCGUCAAAAGCCAGGUAAUCUCUUCACUCCUCCUCCAAUCUUUCAUAAGAUUUUAAGUUUGAGAUUUUAUGGUUUAUUGCUGAAAAGAUUCUUGAAGAAAAAUCUGCUGGUUUUCCCCGAUUUUUCUCCUUUGAUUUUGAUUUUUUCGUUGUGGUUUGGCCGCUGCCGGUCGCCAGAUUUGGUAGCUCGGCAUCGCCGGAGAUUGCCCCACCGACCUAAGUGGUGGUUUGCUUAGGGGGGAGGCCUCUUAGUUCAAGAAC